rnacentral:rRNA from 1 species
GACGAACGCUGGCGGCGUGCUUAACACAUGCAAGUCGAACGGAAAGGCCCUGCUUUUGUGGGGUGCUCGAGUGGCGAACGGGUGAGUAACACGUGAGUAACCUGCCCUUGACUUUGGGAUAACUUCAGGAAACUGGGGCUAAUACCGGAUAGGAGCUCCUGCUGCAUGGUGGGGGUUGGAAAGCUCCGGCGGUUGUGGAUGGACUCGCGGCCUAUCAGCUUGUUGGUGGGGUAGUGGCCUACCAAGGCGGCGACGGGUAGCCGGCCUGAGAGGGUGACCGGCCACAUUGGGACUGAGAUACGGCCCAGACUCCUACGGGAGGCAGCAGUGGGGAAUAUUGCACAAUGGGCGCAAGCCUGAUGCAGCAACGCCGCGUGCGGGAUGACGGCCUUCGGGUUGUAAACCGCUUUCAGCAGGGACGAAGCUUUUUGUGACGGUACCUGCAGAAGAAGCACCGGCUAACUACGUG